UACGAACCGUCCAAACGUUACUCGGAAUCACUGGGCUUAAAGGGUGCGUAGGCCGCGCGGAGGGUGGGAUGUGAAAUCCCCCGGCUCAACCGGGGAAUAGCGUCCCAAACCGCCGUGCUCGAGGGAGACAGAGGUGAGCGGAACUGAUGGUGGAGCGGUGAAAUGCGUUGAUAUCAUCAGGAACACCAGUGGCGAAAGCGGCUCACUGGGUCUUUCUUAACGCUGAGGCACGAAAGCUAGGGGAGCGAACGGG
rnacentral:rRNA from 1 species